ensembl:lncRNA
ACAGACUUCAAUUAACUUCCAGGCACACAGCGGGAUGAGAUUGAGAGGUUUCUGGGAUAAACUUUGCAUCUGCUACUGCUGACUGCUUCACCAGGAGGAAUGGAGCAGGUAACAGAUCUUUACAAGGAGCCUUUCCAACAGUACAUGAAGGUUUUCACCCUCUGCUUUUGAACCUUGAUGAAUAUCAUGGAUCUCCUACAAUCCAGCACCACCAUUUUGCCUUCCUUGAAGCAAGAAGUAAAUCUCUAAUCAGAACCACAUAUUGCAGACAGGAGACAGUCCCUGGUGCUUGCAGUUUACAGUCAGGACUAGAAGAGCAAAGAUUGACUGGAGAACAGUACCAUUUGUCAAAGGACUCAUCUCAAGUACAGAAAACCAGCAGCUUCACAUGGGCAAGAAAGAAAACUGGCAAAAAUCAAGAAUUCAACCAAGAUCUCAUCAAGCUCCUGGACAGUGGCUUCAUUAAUAGUAGUUUAUAAAUGAAGAGGAAGAAGGCCAGCAUAGGAAUGUUUUGUAUGAAGAACAAAUCAAAGGUAUUAUGGCUGGAAACAGGUAUCAAGUCAAGUUAUAGUGGUUGUUAUGAAAAUACAGAAAAUGCGAUAAUGUUGCCAAGGUGGAAGAUAUUGUCAAAAGUAAGAUUAAAAUGACAAAGGUUGGUGAAAAUAUAUCCAUUAUUUAUAUUCUUCAAAUCAAAGAUUUUAAUAUCAGGCAUUUUUAAGGUUGAACUUAAAAAGUCAUUCCUUUAAUACAUCUGUGGAACACUGAGUAGCAGCCAUCUAAUUUUCCAAACGUAUUUGCAAUAUGAAGGUAG